UGUAGAUUGUAUUACUGGUGAAGAUUGUGGUGAGAGAGAAAUUUUAAGGAAUAAUUUAUUGAAAAAGCCACAAGGAGAAGAGCCACGAGUGACACGUGGAGGAGUCCCAGAGGCUUAGUGGUAUAGAUCCACUGUCUCUUUUGGGUAUUUAAUUUAUGAUUUAUAAUGUGUUAUAUUGCCAAUAUUAGGGCUUUUUGUUUAUUGUCAAUUAUAUGAAUAUAUAAAUGUAAUCAUGCCUUUCAAACUAUUUCUAUUUUUAGUACAAUUUGGAUGACUGUAAUUUUAAUAUUUGGUUUACUUUGGAUUGGUUAAAAUGGCAUGAUUAUAAGGCCAAAUAACUGGCUUGUGUUGAAAAUUGACUAAA